CCUUAAUGAUCAUCUAGUUCCAGCCCUUCUUCUACGUCUGGAAACUUUCCACUACACCAGAUUGCUCAAAGCCCCAUCCAAUGCAGCCUGGAAGACUCCUUGAAAUGGGGCAUCCACAACUUUUCUGGACAUCCUGUUACAGUGUCUCACAACCUUCACAGUGAAGAAAUUUCAUAAAAUCAUUCUAAUAGAACCACCUCCACUGUUGCUGAGUAUGGAGAACCUAUGCUACACACUGCAGAGGAACUAAGUAGUGGCUAAAGGAACUUGCCUAUCAAUUGCUUAAAGAUAAGUGCUUUUCCCACCAUCCUUCUUCCCUUGUCCUUUGGAAAAACUAAAAUCUUUUCUUCAGAAACAGUAAGUUUGUCUAUCACAAUAUCCAAUACAUCCUAUGAGUUAUGUUCAAUAAAUACUGUUCUCAAUAGUGUUCUCAUUUUACCCUUUUAAAACUUGAUUUUCAGUCAGAAACUUUGCUUAUUUACUCUUGGAUAUUUAGACUCAGUGAAAAUAAAGUUCUGCACUUUUGAAAAGCAAAUUGUUAGGAAUUGAUUGUGAGGAUUGUUUCUUCAGUAAUAUGUUUUAAAAGUUAUUGCCAAAAUAUAGCAGUGAAAUUUGGAGCGUAGGAAAAAUCUGUUGAACAAAUUAAACAAAUUAAAAGAAACUGACCUGAUUUGUACAAUAAUGUACAGACACACACAUAUAUAUAAAUAAAUACAUUUUAUUCCUGUAACCAAAGCAUCUUGCACAAUUUAAGCUGCUUAAAACCAUAGAAAUAAUUACAAGUAAUAUUUUUAAUUGUAACUCAUAAAAGAAUGUGCCGCUACUUACUUAGAGCAGAAUUAGAAACAAUAGUCAGGCCAAAAUAUUUUCAGAGGCAAUAUGGCUUCAAAUAAACCUGGAUAAUUUCUACUCCUUAAACUGCAAAGAGCUACCUUUACAUUGUGGAAGAUAAGUGAAAAAGUAGCAGUUGAAUAAAGUGUUUCAUUUGGUAGUUUGUGAGUUUGAGCUUUUAGGUUUUGGUUCUUUUGGUUUGUGGUUUUGGGGUUUUUCCCCUUUGCUUUAUAUUGUUUCUAACACAAUAUAUAUUUAUUUCUUAUAAUGCUAAUUAACCCUAUCUCCUGUUAAUGUUAAUUAUCUCCUAUAACCCUUAUAGGAGACAUUUAUGUUUUGAUUUGGGAAGUAUACAAAAUUUGCAACAGUUUUUAUAGAUGUUAAUGCCUAGAAUGCAACAUGAAAUAACUCUUCAGAUGUGACCAAGCAAUUGUACACCUUUGUUUCUAGAUACUUGAGACUCACUAUUUACAGCAGAAUCUUUACAUUGCUUUGUGAAUGUAGCAUUUUUUUCUAAAUAUUUUUACUUUUAUGAAGAAUACUGGAAACAAAAAUCCAUAGCAAUCAGUAUCAGAGCAUUACAAAUUAAUUCACUAUGAAAAAGAACUAGAUGGUGGAUGAGGAGAUGAAAUUAUUUUUUCAAGUCUAGAUUCUAAUAGUAGAAUAAUUGCCCUUCAAGCAAGAUGGCAGAAAUAAACAUAUGAUCAUGUUGCUCUCAAAAGUCUGAUGAGAAGCUCUCUGAUAAAUUAUGAGUGUGUUCUGGGAUUCUGGAAAUGAUACAAAAUUGAUCAAUGGUGGAAGAAGUAGUGGAGAAGUAUAAUGUAAAUAUUCUUUUAUUUAGUGGGUUUGUCUUCUAUAGACAACACCAUAAAUACUUUAUAAUAUUAUACAAAUGACAGUGCAGCCCAUUGAACCAUUUCUGGAAAUUUUUCCCAGUGUUCCAAAAAAAAGCUUAUGAAAAUAUUAGCAAAAAUUAUUGACCCAAAAAGCAUUAAAUUAUAGAUUGUAAAGGCAAUUAAAAAUGCAAAAAUUGCUGAUGGGAAGCUAAAAGGAGGAUAAAUAUGUAUUCAUAGGGUACAUGUCUCUAAAGAAAUCUCUAACUAAAAGCCAUUAAUUCUUUAUAUCAUAAUCUUAUCCUCUUUCAUAUUUUAAAUGUGAAUGAAAAAGAUAAUUAAGAACUUUAUCCAUAUAUCUCAGAUUCAUCUUACGUAUAAAGCAAAUAUUUCUUCACUGGUUUUCUUUAAGUUCUGCUGACUGCAUUGCACAUUUAUUUGUGUGCUUUUUUGCUCCUUUCUGCUGUCAGUACUGGGCAAUUCGUGCCAUCUACAAAGAUUAUGAUUUCUCUCACCUAAGCAAAUGUAUUUAAUCUUUAUGAUUCCUUUAUAUUAAAUGGACAAAAAAGUAAUUGAUUUAUUCCAGCUAAUAUUGAUUCUUUUGGUAAAUGUCACCUUGAGAAAACUUUUUCUGCUAGGAUUCAACUCAAGGAUUGGAAUAAUUGAGAAGACUGGUAGGCACUGGAGCACGGAGAGCCCUUCGGCCUCUGUGGAUAUAUACUACAGAAUAAAAUUAUCAACACUCUAAACUUGUACUGAGCACAAUUCUGACUGUAAUCUGUUCCACACAUAGAUACCCCUUUUAAAGACACAUGGUAAAAUGAUUCUCACCUCCUGUACUGUGCACGUAUUUUUAUUUCUAUUGACUAUUUAGGAUACCUAGAUGAAUUUCAGAUGUCUAAAGUUAGGUGAGACAAAGCCCACUCUCAACACCUAGACACCCCUCACUAUAAGCUGCAAAGCACACAAUGUUGCAGUUCUGUAAUAUUUGCCUAAGCAAUGAUUAUAAGAUUAACUGUGUGCAAAAUACCUGCACACAUAUUUUUCAAGAUAUUCACAGGAUGUUCUUCACAUAGGAAUAUUAGAAGACACAUCUUUUAUCUCUUCAGUGGAUAAAAUCCCCCAAAUACAUUAUUUUUUUGAAUUUAGAACUUUUCCUGUUACAAUUAUUUCACUUCACAUGGCUUAAUUAAAAAUCUUCCAAUUCAGAGAAAGAUUGGUAAAGCCAAAUAGGAAAGAAAAUCAGAAACUGAUUACUCACGGUGUAAGUAGGAAGACAGGGAAAGAUUUAAAAGAAUAAGGAAACUAAACAGAAGCAAUGACAAUGAGAGACAUCCUGCAAAUUUCCUGCAGUGAUUAUGUAUUAUUUAAUCAGUGACAAAAUUAUAAGAGCCUACACAUUUGAUGUCUCACCACGGGAACACAAUAGCCAUUGUGCAUGCUUAUAAUUGCCAAAGUAACAUGGCAAAGAGAAGGAAAUACACAGAAUAAUAUAACUGAGUAAUAAGACUUUUUCAAUAAUUGAAAUGCAAGUGGUGAAUUAUUCAAAUAACCAUUUUUAUACUGUAAAGCAGCAGAUAUAUAUGCAGUCUGGUAAACUGCAUAUAUGUAUAACAUACUCAGAAAACAAUUCUCUGAUUCUCUGAAAAAUACAGAUUCUAGUUUUGAUCAAAAGUUUAUGAAUGUCACAUAAGAAAGUAUAAAAGUGUAAAUCAGAACAUGUGAGUACUCACAUGUAAAGUACUAGGAUCCAGAGAUCAAGAAAUCUGUCAAGGUUGAAAAAGCACAGCUGAAUCCUUUCAGGCUCAGCCUAUGCUAACAAAUUAUUAUGAAUUGGAGUUUUGUCCAUUACUGAGGGCAACUCUGUGGAAAAACCUUCAUUCACACAAUUAAACCAUUAAACUCCCUUAUGCUGCAGGACAUCAUGAAAACAUCCACAGUGCCUUUUGGGGGGUCAUGUAUAGCCAGUGUUAACUCCCCAACAGUCUUAAGAAAUGCUUUAGGAGAUUAUGAAUGGCACAUGCUUUUCAGGGACCAGGUCAGCAGAGUAACACAAUAUGAAAUACUGUCCAGGAGCAUUUCCAGGAGCUUUAUUUAAUAACAUAGAUGCAAAUAAAGGCUUCACUAUUGAUGUUGUUUACCAUUCCAUUUAUUCAGACUUGGAGCUUAGGUAGCUUGCACAACUAUGCAUCCAAUAAGCUUAUCUGGCUGGUCAUUCCAUGAUUUCUCAGUCUGAUGCCCUUCAAUAUUAAGUGUGUAUAUCUUGCUCUCAUUAAUAACUUUCCUUCUGGCACGCUGCUUCUCUGUACACUCGGGUAUACUAAUUGGAAGCCACUCCCUUUCUGUUACACCAGUUCAUAAUCCCAGGCUUACUCGUGAGGUGUGAAGACUAAGGUAUGGCUCAAGAAGGCUUCAUUAGAAAUGCCUGAUAGUCCACUAUAUGAUUUUCAUUUUAAGUUGCUUAGCAACCUUCCUCUGGUAUCAGUCCCUGCGUACAGAUUGGCAAAAGGCUCUACAAAGGAAAAACAGAUAAUCAAGGAAUGGGAGAGAUAUCUGAAAGAAAAAUCAGCACAUAAAGGGAUCCAUUUAUUAAACUUAUUUUUGUGAUUUUUUUCAUGCCUUUUCAUUUGUUCACUGAUUAUUAAUAGAAGAGUAAAGAUGCCAUUGAGGUCUGGGCAUCUCUGUAGCUUAAGAUGAUGCCAGGAAUGCA